rnacentral:rRNA from 1 species
GGGCCCCGCGCCCGCCGACGGCCCCCCUGAACGCUGUCUGAAGUUGCAGUCUGAGACCUAUAACGAAAUUAGUUAAAACUUUCAACAACGGAUCUCUUGGUUCCGGCAUCGAUGAAGAACGCAGCGAAAUGCGAUAACUAAUGUGAAUUGCAGAAUUCAGUGAAUCAUCGAGUCUUUGAACGCACAUUGCGCCCUCUGGUAUUCCGGAGGGCAUGCCUGUCCGAGCGUCAUUGCUGCCCUCAAGCCCGGCUUGUGUGUUGGGCCCCGUCCCCCCCGCCGGGGGGACGGGCCCGAAAGGCAGCGGCGGCACCGCGUCCGGUCCUCGAGCGUAUGGGGCUUCGUCACCCGCUCUAGUAGGCCCGGCCGGCGCCAGCCGACCCCCAACCUUUAAUUAUCUCAGGUUGACCUCGGAUCAGGUAGGGAUACCCGCUGAACUUAAGCAUAUCAAU